AUCAAAAGUAUUCUUUCCCCAACGGCUAUUGUAAGGCACCAAGCUACAAUCCUCCAUUUUGUGAUUUUGUCUCUGUUCAUGCUACUACAUAAAGUUAACAAGAGCUGCCAUGUAGAUGUUAACAAGAGCUUUCCAUACCAAUAAUUAACUAUCAGGUUUCUCCAAGAAAAGAAAUUGCAUUUCAUUGAAAAUAUUUUGUCAGGCCAAGAGGAUGAUGAAGAUGACAAUGAUGAUGAUGAAGACUCUCGCAAUGAUAGUGACAGUAAAGAUGACGAUAAGGAUGACAAUCCUGAUGGUGAAGAUAGUGGUUAUGGUGAGGAUAAGAGGCAAUAAAGGUGAUAAUGGUGAGAUACCGCUACCAAAAUAAUGGCAAUGAUUAUAAUGAUGGUGAGGAUGAUAAAAGUGGUGGUGGCGGCACCAGCGGUGGUAGUGGUGCUGGUGGUGCUGGUGCUGAUGU